rnacentral:rRNA from 1 species
CCUACGGGAGGCAGCAGUGAGGAAUAUUGGUCAAUGGUCGGGAGACUGAACCAGCCAAGCCGCGUGAGGGAUGAAGGUACAGAGUAUCGUAAACCUCUUUUGUCAGGGAACAAAGGCGGGGACGCGUCCCCGGAUGAGUGUACCUGAAGAAAAAGCAUCGGCUAACUCCGUGCCAGCAGCCGCGGUAAUACGGAGGAGGCUAGCGUUAUCCGGAUUUAUUGGGUUUAAAGGGUGCGUAGGUGGUGAAUUAAGUCAGCGGUGAAAGUUUGUGGCUCAACCAUAAAAUUGCCGUUGAAACUGGUUGACUUGAGUAUAGUUGAGGUAGGCGGAAUGCGUGGUGUAGCGGUGAAAUGCAUAGAUAUCACGCAGAACUCCGAUUGCGAAGGCAGCUUACUAAACUAUAACUGACACUGAAGCACGAAAGCGUGGGGAGCAAACAGGAUUAGAUACCCGUGUAGUC